UCCGAAAGGGACGCUAAUACCGCAUGACAUCCUGCCUUUGAAGAGGCAGAGAUCAAACUCGAAGGGAUCGCAAGACCUAGCACUCGAUGGGGGGGCGGGGGGGGUGAUUAGCUAGUUGGUGGGGUAACGGCUCACCAAGGCAACGAUCAGUAUCCGGCCUGAGAGGGCGGACGGACACACUGGGACUGAGACACGGCCCAGACUCCUACGGGAGGCAGCAGUGGGGAAUUGUUCGCAAUGGGCGCAAGCCUGACGACGCAACGCCGCGUGGAGGAUGAAGAUCUUCUGGUCGUAAACUCCUUUCGAUCGAGACGAAGGGGGCUCCGGGUGAACAAUCCGGAGGUUUGACGGUACCGAGAGAAGAAGCCCCGGCUAACUCCGUGCCAGCAGCCGCGGUAAUACGGGGGGGGCAAGCGUUGUUCGGAAUUACUGGGCGUAAAGGGCUCGUAGGCGGCCAACUAAGUCAGACGUGAAAUCCCUCGGCUUAACCGGGGAACUGCGUCUGAUACUGGAUGGCUUGAGUUUGGGAGAGGGAUGCGGAAUUCCAGGUGUAGCGGUGAAAUGCG
rnacentral:rRNA from 1 species